rnacentral:lncRNA from 1 species
GAAGCUUAUUACGUACGUUUCUGUUACUCUCUCCCUCCUAAUCUCUCAUCCAUCGAUCUUCUCUCGUUCCUUCCAUUCCUUCUUCCAAUCAUUGAAGCAUCAACAUUCAAGCGGCUCGAUUGAUGAACAAACCCUAAUCUUUAACCUUCGUAUUUUCUCUCAUCCCGGAUCCAUAUCUAAUUCAUCUUCUCCAUGUUAACACUCGCAAACCCUAGAUCUCUCUCUACUGACGCAACGAUUGAAGGUUACCGUGAUGGAUUGUGAGAUUCGGCACUUGAGUUAUGAUGUAUGGCAAGAAUGGACUGGUUUGGUUAUGGCGGCGAAGUUGAAUCAGAAACGGCGGCGUAUUUUGUGAAAUUGGUGAAGAGUUUGUUUCAAUCAGAUGGAUGGAUCUGGUUAUCGUCAUGUUUGGCCUGUUAAAAAUUGUUUUUUGAGCUUCAUUUGUUCAAGACAUUUGUUGUCCCAAGCUCCCAGAUUGUGAUAAUUGAGUGGAUCUAUGCUUUAAGUGAAAAACGAGGCCUAUAGUAUCCGUGACAGUUGGCGUUCACAUUGAACUUGACAGGUGUUGGAACAGGCUUCUGGUGGAACUGCGACU